GACCUGAUGGCACAGUUGGUUAGUGUGUCUGCUCACAGUAAUGUGGGUGUGUAUACGUAGAUGUCAGCGGAAGGUCCCGGUUCGAAUCCGGGUCAGGUCA